rnacentral:tRNA from 1 species
GGGCUGGGGCUCAGUGGUAGAGUGUUCGCCUCACACGUGCGAGACCCUGGGUUCAAUCCUCAGCACCACA